GAUGAAGAACGCAGUGAAAUGCGAUAAGUAAUGUGAAUUGCAGAAUUCAGUGAAUCAUCGAAUCUUUGAACGCACAUUGCGCCCGCCAGUAUUCUGGCGGGCAUGCCUGUUCGAGCGUCAUUUCAACCCUCAAGCCCAGCUUGAUGUUGGGGAUCGGCACAGGCGCCCUCGGGCGCCCGCCGUCCCCUAAAUCUAGUGGCGGUCCCGCUGCAGCCUCCUCUGCGUAGUAGUUUUCUCCUCGCAAGGGCAGCUCGGUGGCGACCUCGCCGUAAAACCCCCAACUUCUGAAAGGUUGACCUCGAAUCAGGUAGGAAUACCCGCUGAACUUAAGCAUAUCAAUAAGCGGAGGA
rnacentral:misc_RNA from 1 species